rnacentral:rRNA from 2 species
CAGUCGAACGAACUCUGGUAUUGAUUGGUGCUUGCAUCAUGAUUUACAUUUGAGUGAGUGGCGAACUGGUGAGUAACACGUGGGAAACCUGCCCAGAAGCGGGGGAUAACACCUGGAAACAGAUGCUAAUACCGCAUAACAACUUGGACCGCAUGGUCCGAGUUUGAAAGAUGGCUUCGGCUAUCACUUUUGGAUGGUCCCGCGGCGUAUUAGCUAGAUGGUGGGGUAACGGCUCACCAUGGCAAUGAUACGUAGCCGACCUGAGAGGGUAAUCGGCCACAUUGGGACUGAGACACGGCCCAAACUCCUACGGGAGGCAGCAGUAGGGAAUCUUCCACAAUGGACGAAAGUCUGAUGGAGCAACGCCGCGUGAGUGAAGAAGGGUUUCGGCUCGUAAAACUCUGUUGUUAAAGAAGAACAUAUCUGAGAGUAACUGUUCAGGUAUUGACGGUAUUUAACCAGAAAGCCACGGCUAACUACGUGCCAGCAGCCGCGGUAAUACGUAGGUGGCAAGCGUUGUCCGGAUUUAUUGGGCGUAAAGCGAGCGCAGGCGGUUUUUUAAGUCUGAUGUGAAAGCCUUCGGCUCAACCGAAGAAGUGCAUCGGAAACUGGGAAACUUGAGUGCAGAAGAGGACAGUGGAACUCCAUGUGUAGCGGUGAAAUGCGUAGAUAUAUGGAAGAACACCAGUGGCGAAGGCGGCUGUCUGGUCUGUAACUGACGCUGAGGCUCGAAAGUAUGGGUAGCAAACAGGAUUAGAUACCCUGGUAGUCCAUACCGUAAACGAUGAAUGCUAAGUGUUGGAGGGUUUCCGCCCUUCAGUGCUGCAGCUAACGCAUUAAGCAUUCCGCCUGGGGAGUACGGCCGCAAGGCUGAAACUCAAAGGAAUUGACGGGGGCCCGCACAAGCGGUGGAGCAUGUGGUUUAAUUCGAAGCUACGCGAAGAACCUUACCAGGUCUUGACAUACUAUGCAAAUCUAAGAGAUUAGACGUUCCCUUCGGGGACAUGGAUACAGGUGGUGCAUGGUUGUCGUCAGCUCGUGUCGUGAGAUGUUGGGUUAAGUCCCGCAACGAGCGCAACCCUUAUUAUCAGUUGCCAGCAUUAAGUUGGGCACUCUGGUGAGACUGCCGGUGACAAACCGGAGGAAGGUGGGGAUGACGUCAAAUCAUCAUGCCCCUUAUGACCUGGGCUACACACGUGCUACAAUGGAUGGUACAACGAGUUGCGAACUCGCGAGAGUAAGCUAAUCUCUUAAAGCCAUUCUCAGUUCGGAUUGUAGGCUGCAACUCGCCUACAUGAAGUCGGAAUCGCUAGUAAUCGCGGAUCAGCAUGCCGCGGUGAAUACGUUCCCGGGCCUUGUACACACCGCCCGUCAC